CCCCGCCACAGUUCCACGGCGCUGGCCAGCCGCUCGGCGUCCAGGUACCGCUGGAUCUGCGUGGAGCCUCCGGGGCUGUCGGGCUUUUCCUGAACCCUUGGGCUGCCACAUGGUUUGCUCUUGUCCUCGGGGGUCUCGGGGGCGCUGCCAGGGGCCGGUGGGCUGACCCUGCUGUCCAGGGCCAGGCUGGUCGGCCGCUCCAACUGGCCAGGCCUG
rnacentral:lncRNA from 1 species